GGAAUAUUGCGCAAUGGGCGGAAGCCUGACGCAGCCACGCCGCGUGAGCGAUGAAGGUCUUAGGAUCGUAAAGCUCUGUGGAGGGAGAAGAAGAAAGCCGGUGAAGAGCCGGCCUUGACGGUAUCCCUUUAGCAAGCACCGGCUAACUCCGUGCCAGCCGCCGCGGUAAUACGGAGGGUGCAAACGUGGCUCGGAAUCAUUGGGCGUAAAGCGCGCGUAGGCGGCGAAGCAAGUUGGAUGUGAAAGCCCUGGGCUCAACCUAGGAUGUGCAUACAAAACUGCUUCGCUUGAAUCUCGGAGGGGGACAGGGAAUUCCCGGUGUAGAGGUGAAAUUCGUAGAUAUCGGGAGGAACACCAGUGGCGAAGGCGCUGUCCUGGACGAUGAUUGACGCUGAAGCGCGAAAGCGUGGGGAGCAAAC
rnacentral:rRNA from 1 species